rnacentral:rRNA from 1 species
GUGGGGAAUCUUGCGCAAUGGGCGAAAGCCUGACGCAGCCAUGCCGCGUGAAUGAUGAAGGUCUUAGGAUUGUAAAAUUCUUUCACCGGGGACGAUAAUGACGGUACCCGGAGAAGAAGCUCCGGCUAACUUCGUGCCAGCAGCCGCGGUAAUACGAAGGGGGCUAGCGUUGCUCGGAAUUACUGGGCGUAAAGGGCGCGUAGGCGGACAGCUUAGUCAGAGGUGAAAGCCCAGGGCUCAACCUUGGAAUUGCCUUUGAUACUGGCUGUCUUGAGUUUGGGAGAGGUGAGUGGAACUCCGAGUGUAGAGGUGAAAUUCGUAGAUAUUCGGAAGAACACCAGUGGCGAAGGCGACUCACUGGCCCAAUACUGACGCUGAGGCGCGAAAGCGUGGGGAGCAAACAGGAUUAGAAACCCGUGUUAGUCC